AUUGAACGCUGGCGGCAGGCUUAACACAUGCAAGUCGAGCGGGGUGAUGGUGCUUGCACUAUCACUUAGCGGCGGACGGGUGAGUAAUGCUUAGGAAUCUGCCUAUUAGUGGGGGACAACAUCUCGAAAGGGAUGCUAAUACCGCAUACGUCCUACGGGAGAAAGCAGGGGAUCACUUGUGACCUUGCGCUAAUAGAUGAGCCUAAGUCGGAUUAGCUAGUUGGUGGGGUAAAGGCCUACCAAGGCGACGAUCUGUAGCGAGGCUGAUAGGAUUAGACGGCACACUUGGACGGAGACACGGCCCAGACUGCGACAGGAAGCAGCAGUUGGGAAUAUUGGACAAGUGGGGGAAACCUGAUCCAGCCUUGCCGCGUGUGUGAAGAGGGCCUUAUGGUUGUAAAGCACUUUAAGCGAGGAGGAGGCUCUUUUGGUUAAUACCCAAGAUGAGUGGACGUUACUCGCAGAAUAAGCACCGGCUAACUCUGUGCCAGCCGCCGCGGUAA
rnacentral:rRNA from 1 species